rnacentral:tRNA from 1 species
GCACUAGUAGCUCAGCAUAAAGAGCGCCGGUCUUGUAAGCCGGAUGGCGAAGGUUUAAAUCCUUCCUUGUGCU